GUGUCUGAGUGCUUGACUGCAAGAUGGGCAGUUGACUUUGGAUAACACGAUAUCCAAUGCCAUCUUCCGAUCUUGCACUCAAGCACUUAGGCAC